CUGCUUUCCUCUUUCUUUUAAAAAGAGCUUUUUUCCCUUCACUCUGUAGUCUACUUCUUGCAUUAUGAAGUUAACUUUCAAAUUAGUUGUAAUUUUCUUUAGCUUUUCUAGAGUGUUAUUCUAUUAAUCGUAUAUAUUUAUGAUUCCAUAAUUAUUAUUUUCUGUUUAUAUUUCCUUAAAAGUAGUUCCAAUCCGACCUUGCUACGCAUCAAUUUUAAUGGUUUUUGAAAAUUUGAGUAUCUAGAUUCAGGAGUGCUUGUUGCUUAAAAUUGCAUAAAACCAUACCCACUUUAACUUGAUGGUGUUCUUUGUGAG
rnacentral:misc_RNA from 1 species